ensembl:lncRNA
CAGUGACGGUGCCAGUGCCCCACCCUCUCACCUCCUUCUCCAGACUGCUCCUGGGGCCUGUGGUGGCAGUGGCUUCUCUGGAAGUAGCUGCUGAGGCAGAGUUUGGAGUCCAGGAUGUUUGCUUGGGACUAAGAGCUGGGAAAUGAGGGCAGAGGAAGAGUGGACAUGUGAUGCUGCCUGGCGAGGCCUUAGCCAACCUGGCAGGGAGGCGGGGUUGAGCAUUGGCCCUCGAGUAGACCACACGGUGCUGAAGAGUUUAGGCCUUUAGGCCUACACUUUACUCAGCCACCAAAGCAGCACAGUAACUCUAAAGCGAACUUCCUGAUCUUCAACCUUUGACUGCUGCUGGAUCCUCCGGCUCUCCAGUGCUUAUAUUAUAGACGGGGUUCCCUAUGCUUACCUUCAUGUACAGAUAAGGAAACUGAGGCCCAGGGAAGUUAAGAAAUUUGCUUAAGGGAACAGAGUCAACAAAUAGAAGAACUGGAACUUGGAUUCAACUACAGUGGACUCCCAAAAUUUGUGGGGAUUAUGUUUCCAGAGCACCCGCAAAUUGUGAAAAAC